UGACAACCAAUCUGAACGAGGAUGAAACAAAGAGCUUGUCCCCCGGCGCUUCUCUCUGUAACAGCUGCAAAACCAGAAAACAGAAACAUAAAACAUAAAACAUCCAAGCAUCAAAAUGCAACGACGAGUGAACAUCCACCAAGUCCGCGACCUAUUUUAUCAAGUUGGAGGAGAGGAAGAUUCUGGAAACUCCUCCUCAGCUCCUGAGAGGAUGAAGCUAACAUCGAUCCUCCAAGAAAGAGGAAGAUGACCAGCUGAGGACUGCAACAGCUAUGGAGAGGAAGAUGACCAGCCUAGGGACCCAACAAUCAAUGUUGAUCCUGUGAGGAGUCUUCAGUGGAGAUCCAUUCCUCCUACAACGAGGGCUAGACAAAGCGCAAAGCGUCGUCUGGAAAGAUCUGCAACAGCUCAGGCAACACAGCCAGACCACUCACAUACACACACUGUUCAACUCCAUGCCAAAUUUCAGCCUCCUAUGGCGAAAAUAUUAUAUUCCAAUUUAUUUUGCCAUGUCUUACCUACAUUGGAAAUGCUGUCAACCAACAUGUGUGACAAGGUUAGACUGACUUGUGUUUGUUUUCUCUCAUGUUUUUGUUGUUUGAAAUGUGUUUGGUAGAUAAAAUACAAAAACGCCUAUGGACACACCUGCUUUUUUUGUAAAUAUUUGAAUACCAAAUGUCCUUUAUAUAUUUCCAUUUAUUAUUUUGAUAAUUAUUAUUAUUGUUCUAGCUUUGUCACUGCUCAAAACAGUUCCCAGGAGCAGUUUUGAGUAGUGGCAGGGACUUUUUGGAGCAGUGGCAUAGCUAGAAUACAAUAAACGCCCAUGUACAAGCUUACUGUUGUUGUAAAAAUUAAAUAAAUUAUUAUUUUCCAAAUUUUCUUUUUAUAUUUCAAUUUUUAUACAUUUGAAGUUCAUUUUUAUCAAUUCAAAACAGUUCGUCCAGCACUCUGUGUUUUUUAGAAUAAAAAAGUAAUACAUUUAAAAAAAAAA